rnacentral:rRNA from 1 species
AUUGAACGCUGGCGGCAGGCCUAACACAUGCAAGUCGAACGGUAACAGGAAGAAGCUUGCUUCUUUGCUGACGAGUGGCGGACGGGUGAGUAAUGUCUGGGAAACUGCCUGAUGGAGGGGGAUAACUACUGGAAACGGUAGCUAAUACCGCAUAACGUCGCAAGACCAAAAAGGGGGGCCUUCGGGCCUCUUGCCAUCGGAUGUGCCCAGAUGGGAUUAGCUAGUAGGUGGGGUAACGGCUCACCUAGGCGACGAUCCCUAGCUGGUCUGAGAGGAUGACCAGCCACACUGGAACUGAGACACGGUCCAGACUCCUACGGGAGGCAGCAGUGGGGAAUAUUGCACAAUGGGCGCAAGCCUGAUGCAGCCAUACCGCGUGUAUGAAGAAGGCCUUCGGGUUGUAAAGUACUUUCAGCGGGGAGGAAGGGAGUAAAGUUAAUACCUUUGCUCAUUGACGUUACCCGCAGAAGAAGCACCGGCUAACUCCGUG